rnacentral:rRNA from 1 species
AACGAACGCUGGCGGCAUGCCUAACACAUGCAAGUCGAACGAGACCUUCGGGUCUAGUGGCGCACGGGUGCGUAACGCGUGGGAACCUGCCCUUAGGUUCGGAAUAACUCCCCGAAAGGGGUGCUAAUACCGGAUAAUGUCAUCGGACCAAAGAUUUGGCGCUUGGGGAUGGGCCCGCGUUGGAUUAGCUGGUUGGUGGGGUAAAAGCCUACCAAGGCGACGAUCGAUAGCUGGUCUGAGAGGGUGACCAGCCACACUGGGACUGAGAGACGGCCGAGACUCCUACGGGAGGCAGCAGUGGGGAAUAUUGCACAAUGGGCGGAAGCCUGAUGCAGAAACGCCGCGUGCGGGAUGACGGCCGUCGGGUUGUAAACAGCUUUCGCCUGUGACGAAGCGUGAGUGACGGUAAUGGGUAAAGAAGCACCGGCUAACUACGU